rnacentral:rRNA from 1 species
UACGUAGGCAGCGAGCGUUGUUCGGAGUUACUGGGCGUAAAGGGUGUGUAGGCGGUCCUCUAAGUUUGGUGUGAAAUCUCCCGGCUCAACCGGGAGGGUGCGCCGAAAACUGGGGGGCUAGAGUGCGGGAUGGGUAAGUGGAAUUCCUGGUGUAGCGGUGAAAUGCGUAGAUAUCAGGAGGAACACCUGUGGUGUAGACGGCUUACUGGACCGCAACUGACGCUGAGGAGCGAAAGCGUGGGGAGCGAACAGG